GUGCCUAUACAUGCAAGUCGAGCGAAUGGAUUAAGAGCUUGCUCUUAUGAAGUUAGCGGCGGACGGGUGAGUAACACGUGGGUAACCUACCCAUAAGACUGGGAUAACUCCGGGAAACCGGGGCUAAUACCGGAUAAUAUUUUGAACUGCAUAGUUCGAAAUUGAAAGGCGGCUUCGGCUGUCACUUAUGGAUGGACCCGCGUCGCAUUAGCUAGUUGGUGAGGUAACGGCUCACCAAGGCGACGAUGCGUAGCCGACCUGAGAGGGUGAUCGGCCACACUGGGACUGAGACACGGCCCAGACUCCUACGGGAGGCAGCAGUAGGGAAUCUUCCGCAAUGGACGAAAGUCUGACGGAGCAACGCCGCGUGAGUGAUGAAGGCUUUCGGGUCGUAAAACUCUGUUGUUAGGGAAGAACAAGUGCUAGUUGAAUAAGCUGGCACCUUGACGGUACCUAACCAGAAAGCCACGGCUAACUACGUGCCAGCAGCCGCGGUAAU
rnacentral:rRNA from 1 species